UGUGGGAGCGAGCUUGCUCGCGAUAGCGGUCUGUCUGGCACAUCAAUGUUGAAUGUGCUGCAGCUAUCGCGAGCAAGCUCGCUCCCACA
rnacentral:misc_RNA from 1 species